rnacentral:lncRNA from 1 species
UAUCUCCCCUUUUCUUUCUUAUUUUGAGGCAGAGUGUUGCUAAGCUGCUAAGUUUCCCAGGCUGCGCUUGAAAUUUUGAUCCUGUGGCCUGCCUCUUCUCCACCAAUUUCUGCCACCCGUCCUUACCUCAUGGAGGCACCAAGGUUUUGAUUGCUGUCACCAUAGGGCUCCAGCUCAGUGGGCCUUCCAGGCUCCCUUGACGACGUUGGAUGGAGCAGCCUGGCUCUCAGGACAAGGGCAGUUCUCUCUCUGCAGGGUGGUGACUGGGCUCCUUCCCUGCCUGUGGAACCACGGGAAGCUCAGAGUGGCGAAUAGUACUGAGAUUGCCUGAAAAACGCUGUUGCUCUGAGCACCAGCAAAUGCCUUCCCUUUCAUCCCAGGCUAAAGGAGGCAGAAAACUCUGGUAAGUGCCUUAAUAAGUGGCUGUCAUCCGCUCAACAAUAGUAUUAAAAACUAUC